CAUAAGGGAAGGGAAGCAAAAAUAAUAUAAAAACAAGGAGGGGGACAAUAUAAGAGACUCUCAAAUAUAGAGAACAAAUGGUUGCUGGAGGGGUAGUGGGAGGAGGGAUAGGCUAAACGGGAAAGGGGCAUUAAGGAAGACACUUGUUCGGAUGAGCACACGUCUGUACUCC